AUUGAACGCUGGCGGCAGGCCUAACACAUGCAAGUCGAGCGGAUGAGAAGAGCUUGCUCUUCGAUUCAGCGGCGGACGGGUGAGUAAUGCCUAGGAAUCUGCCUGGUAGUGGGGGACAACGUUUCGAAAGGAACGCUAAUACCGCAUACGUCCUACGGGAGAAAGCAGGGGACCUUCGGGCCUUGCGCUAUCAGAUGAGCCUAGGUCGGAUUAGCUAGUUGGUGAGGUAAUGGCUCACCAAGGCGACGAUCCGUAACUGGUCUGAGAGGAUGAUCAGUCACACCGGAACUGAGACACGGUCCAGACUCCUACGGGAGGCAGCAGUGGGGAAUAUUGGACAAUGGGCGAAAGCCUGAUCCAGCCAUGCCGCGUGUGUGAAGAAGGUCUUCGGAUUGUAAAGCACUUUAAGUUGGGAGGAAGGGCAGUAAGUUUAUACCUUGCUGUUUUGACGUUACCGACAGAAUAAGCACCGGCUAACUCUGUGCCAGCCGCCGCUGUAAAAC
rnacentral:rRNA from 1 species